rnacentral:tRNA from 1 species
AAACAAAAUAGUUAAAAAUUAUAAUAUUGGGUUGUCAUCCUAAAGUUACCUUGUUGAGUGGUUUUUGUUUA